GCGUAUAUAUACAGCAAAAGAGUGAGCACAUGUCUGUGACUGUACACAAAACUUGCAGGCCUGAAAAAAUAGCUAACAAGCCGAACUCUUUUCUUUAUCGUGUUUAUACAAUAAAUGAGUUCAGGGCACGUCUCUGAGCAAAACCUGCAGGAAGUUUUCCAUUCUCGUGUACCCAAAACUUACAGUGCUGCAAUGCGAUUAAAUUAACACAUUGGACAAGGAUACGGUAGCAGGGAUCAAUCA
rnacentral:misc_RNA from 1 species